AGCGAACGCUGGCGGCAGGCUUAACACAUGCAAGUCGAACGAACCCUUCGGGGUUAGUGGCGGACGGGUGAGUAACACGUGGGAACGUGCCUUUAGGUUCGGAAUAACUCAGGGAAACUUGUGCUAAUACCGAAUGUGCCCUUCGGGGGAAAGAUUUAUCGCCUUUAGAGCGGCCCGCGUCUGAUUAGCUAGUUGGUGAGGUAAAGGCUCACCAAGGCUACGAUCAGUAGCUGGUCUGAGAGGAUGACCAGCCACAUUGGGACUGAGACACGGCCCAAACUCCUACGGGAGGCAGCAGUGGGGAAUCUUGCGCAAUGGGCGAAAGCCUGACGCAGCCAUGCCGCGUGGAUGAUGAAGGUCUUAGGAUUGUAAAAUCCUUUCACCGGUGAAGAUAAUGACUGUAGCCGGAGAAGAAGCCCCGGCUAACUUCGUGCCAGCCGCCGCGGUAAGAC
rnacentral:rRNA from 1 species